CACUCACUCCCCUGAUUCAAAUGCUGAUCUCUUCUGGAAACGCCCUCUCAGGCGCACUUAGAAAGCAUGUUUUAUCAGCUAUCUGGGUUUCCCUCAGCCUAGUCAAGUUGACACCUAAAAUUAACCAACCACUAGGCAAUGCACUACCUAGGAAUACAGAGCCAAGGAGGGCGGGAUCUUCCCAGGCCUCAAGGUCUCUCAUCUGCUGAGCAGACAGGCAUGAGGCAGACUCUCACAAGUAAUGAGGUUGGUGGCAAGGACUACAAAAGAGAAAGACCUCUGCCAAAUGCAAAGUUGCACUAAGUGCUAAGAUAAACCCAAAUCUGAACUGCAGAACUGUGGGCUGUGAUGUUCACCCCCACCCAAGUGGCUAUGUUGCCACAUCGGCUGCAAACACACGUGAAUUUGGGCUGGGUAUCAGGAAAUGAAGUCAUUCUGGGAAUGGAAAUUGAAGUUUCUUUAGGGAACUGUGAAAAUCUGCAUUGGAAAACAGAUACUGCGAGAGAACAGGUUCUGCAGACCAGCAAACAGUCCAGACACUGGAUUUCUUCCCUGCUCGCUGUCUGGCCGCAGCAGGGGACAGACAGGCAGAGCGGGCGUGUGUCAGAAGGUGUUUUCUAGGGGAAAGAAGGAAUAAAAGAAGACCCAGAGGAGAUGCAGUGACAUUGGGAGGUUCAAUAAUUUCCCUGCAGUUGAGGGCCCCUGGACCACUGUUUCCCCAGCAGAGACAAGGUGGUGGCUGGCAUGGAGGGAGCUUCCUUAGAAGAACCCAGAACCCGUGUAUUCCCCUGAGAAGCGUCAUGAAACCUCUCAGAUCUCUAAUCCCUGCACUGCCCUGGAGCAUCAAGGCCCAGCGCUGCUGUUGAAUAUUGUGAAUGUGGUUUUUCCUGACUCACCAUAGAGUCAAUAAUUUCCAGUUUAAAAUUGUUAAAUAUCCUUCCAGAUUAUGCCAUUAUCCAAGAAAGUCUUAGCUGGCUAAACUGGAGCAAGCAAUUCUUUUAGGAAUCUGGAGAGCAAGUUUAUUGUGAGAAUCUUGCAGCUGUGACAGACAAAUGUCCACAGAGAGAAGAGACGCCUUUGAGAGGUAGUGAGCCUGAUAACUGAGCACCGGGAGGGCUGCAGAGCCCCUGGGGGUGGCACAGUCCAGGAUCUCCCCACCUGCCAUCCUCUGAGGUGGAUGCUCCUGCCUCUGAGACAGGCAGCCCUCUGCUUGCUGGCUGCUCCCCAGCAUCUGUUUCUGACUCUCUGCGCAAAACGGACAGGAAAGUUGAGGGUCCCUGCCCAGUGUCUGUCUCCAGGCACAGAGUCUCAGUACCAGCUCUCAAAACUCUGUCUGCUCACCUGGGCAGCUCCAGGAGGCUG
rnacentral:lncRNA from 1 species